rnacentral:rRNA from 1 species
GACGAACGCUGGCGGCGUGCUUAACACAUGCAAGUCGAACGGAAAGGCCCUGCUUUUGUGGGGUGCUCGAGUGGCGAACGGGUGAGUAACACGUGAGUAACCUGCCCUUGACUUUGGGAUAACUUCAGGAAAAGGGGGCUAAUACCGGAUAUGAGCUCCUGCUGCAUGGUGUUGGUUGGAGAGUUUCGGCGGUUGGGGAAGGGCUCGCGGCUUAUCAGCUUGUUGGGGUGGUUGUGGCUUCCGAAGCGUUUGAGGGGUAGGCGGCAUGGGAGGGUGACCGGCCACAUUGGGACUGAGAUACGGACCAGACUCCUACGGGAGGCAGCAGUGGGGAAUAUUGCACAAUGGGGGGAAGCCUGAUGCAGCAACGCCGCGUGCGGAAUGAUGGCCUUCGGGUUGUAAACCGCUUUCGCAUGUGACGAAGCGUGAGUGACGGUAAUGGGUAAAGAAGCACCGGCUAACUACGUG